GGAAGGCCUUGUUCUCGACACAGUGCAGUUGAGCUCAGACGCAGUGCAACUAGGACACUCCCAACAUGAAGCUUACCGCGAUGCUAAUGGCCCUUCUGGCGGUGAUGUCGGCGCUGCUGUGCCUGGCCGGCGCCGACCCCGAGCCCUUCAAGAAGCUCAAGGGCUUCAAGAAGAAGGGCGGCUUCAGGCCCCGACCCAUCAUCCACCGGCCAGUCUACGUCCGCCCGGUCCACUACGGCGGCUACGGGGGCGGCUACGGAGGCCACCACGGCUGGUAGGAAGGAGCCCAAGCGAGGCGCCUCCUCUCGAAGUUUGCCACAAGCGGAGUGGAGAGGCUUCGAGGCGGAGGCGCUUCAGGAAUGACCGACGCUCGCUCCAAGAAACGCUUCUGUUCUGAUCUAUUACUGUCUGAGAGUCACUGCCCUUCGCCUCUCGUGCUUUUGUAUUUUCUACAUUCCUGUAAAACCAACCAAGUAAAUUUUUUGACUUUUA
rnacentral:lncRNA from 1 species